UACGUAGGGGGCAAGCGUUGUCCGGAAUCAUUGGGCGUAAAGAGCGCGUAGGCGGUCCGGUAAGUCCGCUGUGAAAGUCAAGGGCUCAACCCUUGAAUGCCGGUGGAUACUGUCGGGCUAGAGUCCGGAAGAGGCGAGUGGAAUUCCUGGUGUAGCGGUGAAAUGCGUAGAUAUCUGGAGGAACACCGGUGGCGAAGGCGGCAUCCUGGACCAACACUGACACUGAGGAGCGAAAGCCAGGGGAGCAAACGGG
rnacentral:rRNA from 1 species